UGGCGGACGGGUGAGUAACGCGUGGGAACAUGCCUAUUAGUUGGGGACAACCUGUGGAAACGCAGGCUAAUACCGAAUACGUUCUACGGAAUAAAGGGUGCCUCUCCCUGGAAGCAUUCGCUGAUAGAUUGGCCCGCGUUGGAUUAGCUAGUUGGUAGGGUAAAAGCCUACCAAGGCAGCGAUCCAUAGCUGGUUUGAGAGGAUGAUCAGCCACACUGGGACUGAGAUACGGCCCAGACUCCUACGGGAGGCAGCAGUGAGGAAUAUUGCGCAAUGGAGGAAACUCUGACGCAGCAACGCCGCGUGCGGGAUGACGCUUCGAGGAGUGUAAACCGCUGUUAGUAGGGACGAAUAAGAUAUAAUCGAAUAGGUUAUAUCGAUGACGGUACCUACAGAGAAAGCCCCGGCUAACUCCGUGCCAGCAGCCGCGGUAAUACGGAGGGGGCAAGCGUUGUCCGGAUUUAUUGGGCGUAAAGGGCGCGUAGGCGGGCUGAUCAGUCUGUGGUGAAAGUUUGCGGCUUAACCGUAAAAUUGCCUUGGAUACUGUCAGUCUUGAGUUCGGAAGAGGAAAGUGGAAUUCCUGGUGUAGCGGUGAAAUGCGUAGAUAUCAGGAAGAACACCGGUGGCGAAGGCGGCUUUCUGGUCCGAAACUGACGCUGAGGCGCGAAAGUGUGGGUAGCGAACAGGAUUAGAUGCCCUGGUAGUCCACACAGUAAACGAUGGAUACUAGGUGUUGG
rnacentral:rRNA from 1 species